AUUUGAUUGAUGAAAGUUGAUAGAGAGGCAAGAUGAUCCAAGAAGUUUGAGAUAUAUCCAGAUGAGUACGAGGAUGACAAGCUCGAAUUUUGGAGGAGAAGGAUUUUGAAUUUGAUUAUGAGGUCAUAAAAAGAGAUCUUUUGGAUUUCUCAAUGUUUGAUACGACUUUUCUGGAAACCAACAUUGGUAAUGAUUUGAGAUGCUUCGAGUAUUCCUUAGACACGGUCUAAUAAUUGAUGUCUUGUCUAUCACGAAGAAAAAUUUGUGAUGACUUGAAUAUUUCCUUCACUAAGAAAAAUA
rnacentral:lncRNA from 1 species